AUUGCUCGAGCUGUGGUGCCUUC
rnacentral:piRNA from 1 species